CCUUUCCCAGCCUAACUCCGACUCUUGCAAAGCCUACGUGUGAAGACUGGGAAGACGCAUCGGUCACAACGAGGGGAGCCGGCUUCUAGCUGAUAGAUGCUCUUUUCUGCAGUUUCCAGGAGUUUCCAGGUGUGUGCCACAACCCACACGCAUUAAUCAGAAGCAAAUGCUUGAGACGAUGAUGACCCACCCAGAAGAGACAAAGGCCUAGGAUUGACUGGCAGUGCUGUGUGACACUCCUUGGCUUCCUCCAAGAAAGAUGAAAAGAGAACCACAUCAAGGGGACUAGGAGAUGAAGAAUGCAUGCUGGUUUCACUUGGAGCGUAGUAUCUUUGAGUAGAGCUUGAGUCCACUGUAGGUUGCAAGGCUUUUCCUGCAUAGAUUAUAAAUGGAUCUGAGAAUGAGUCUCUCAGUGCUGGCUGAAGAUGCUUGGGUAGUCACCAUAUUCUAAUCAAGAAAACUGAUGGUGCUGCUUUAAAUUUAUAUCAUGCCUGUCCCUAGAAAAGUAGGGUAUCCUGGGAUUAACCAGGCCUGCACCACAAGCUCUGUCUGUGCCAGGCUUGGGCUUGAAAGAACAGAAUGGUGAAGCUCUUAUUAUUCUGAAACACUCAAGCGUAAAUCUUGCUGAUGAUAGAGUUUGGCCCAGUGCCUUGGGCAGUGAUAUAAUUGAAGAAUACAAAGAGCAAUAACCCCUUUCCUGCAAAAAGUAUUUCCUACUUCACUCAGCUCAAGUAUCUCUUUAUCUAGAAAUCUUUUCUGAUGUCUCCAAGCAACUAUGGCACUUGUCACUUUACUUUGAAAUUUUAUUUUUACGUAUUCCAUUGCCCAACCCUGAGGAAUGUCUUACGCACCUGCGUAUGCUCAGCAAACAACCCAGGGGGAGGAGGGGAGUUAAUAAAAAACUGUUGGACUGAAUUCAACUUAGAAAACAAUGUGGCAGAUAGAAAAGGCCAGCCUAUGUCUACCCAGUCAUGGCAUAUGCUAUUGGAGUGGUGGCUUACAGAGAGAACCCAACCAUAUUUAAAAGUGGUAUAGACCUCCAGAGUCCAAAUUAGAAUAGAUGAACUAUUGGGACUUCAUCAAGAUAAGAAGCUUUUGCACAGCAAAGGAUACAGUCAACAAAACUCAAAGACAACCUACAGAAUGGGAGAAGAUAUUUGCAAAUGACAUAUCA